GGGUGGUUAGCUGAGUGGUUUAGCGACGGACUGUUAAUCCGUGUUCGAAAGGACAACGUAGGUUCAAAUCCUACACCGCCCG
rnacentral:tRNA from 2 species